rnacentral:tRNA from 1 species
AAAAGAUUAGUUUAAUAAAAAAACAUUAAUUUGUCAAAUUAAAAAUAUUUAUAAUAUCUUUUU